rnacentral:tRNA from 1 species
GAGGAUAUAGCUCAGUGGAAGAGUGCAUGCCUAGCAUGCACAAGGUCCUGGGUUCAAUCCCCAGUACCUCCA